rnacentral:piRNA from 1 species
UUGAUUGUCCCCUGUGCCUCAC